GACCGCUUCAUAAGCAGCACCAGAGAAACAGCUCGUGCCUUUCUGAGGACUGUGGUUUUAUUCGGUCACAAAAUACACCAUGUUACUCUCUAAAUCAGAAAACGACAAAAGACGAAUAAUACCUUGACUGAACCAAAUACACCAGACUUUUUAAGCAGUGAGGCUACAGGACAGACAAAGGACCACCUCAGGAAAGGAAGACCCGGAGUUAUCUCUGUUGCACAGGAUAAUUUCAUCAGAAUUACCAGCCUCAGAAACUGCAAGCUUUAACUGCAGUUUCCUUGGCAUUGUGAACAAGUUUGGACUGAAGUGGCUAAGGCCAAGAUGGGGGGAAUUUGUCCACUGGCAAACGGUUAAGGGUGACACCCACUGCUCAUAAGAAUGGAUAAACUGAAGGAACGGCAGUGCCAGCUGGCUCUCUUGACAGGAAGAAACCCAAGUACCUGCUAAUUUGAUUGAGAGCAAUAGCAUUAACUCGCUCAGAUUCUGCUGAGGUUUUUAAUAAAGCAUAAAAAUAGGUCAGUCACUAGAUGCAUCUUCUCCUCAGCAUCAUCAACUACAAACAAUUAUGGCAAAAAAAUUUAGUACUGUUUUGAAGAAUGCACUAAAACCUGAUUAAAAUCUUGCUGCUUAUUCCAAAAUCAU